ensembl:processed_transcript
AGAAGUACACUGGUCGCUGAAGGAGGAACUGCCGAGGCUGAAAACAAUCAUGUUGGCUGUUCUGUUGACCGCUUUAAUGUUUAGUCAAGGGCUUUCAAUGGACAGCCGUGGGACGAGUUUCAUCACAGCAUUCCCCGAGAACGUUGCCUUUUAUUUUCAAAAGACCUAUAACCUAUUGAAAAUCACCACCCUUCACCCAAACACGGCUGUCAGUGUCAUUGAAAUGGCGAGUGGCAACAUCACCAAUUCAGCCGCUGGCAACAACGGAACCAUUUUGACUUUGAAUUUCUCAAAGGAUGCUGAAGAAUACCAGUUUGCAUUCUCCAAUAAGUCUAUUCGAAUCACCAGCGAUAAAAACAUCACAGUGCUUUCUAUGAGUGGAUGGGAGGGUCGAUUUCAGUCCCGUGUUGUUCAGCCUGAUCAAAACCUCAGAACGGUGUAUCAGAUCCCUGCUCUAAACUACACCAAGAUUGCUGCAUCCUUUAACCUUUCAGUGGCAUCAAAUGUCACGUUUCUC